AUUUAAAUAGUUUAUUAAAAUAAUGAUUUGUGGAGUCAUAGAUAUAUUUAUGUAUUUUAAAUA
rnacentral:tRNA from 1 species